rnacentral:siRNA from 1 species
CGUACAUGUCUAAAUUACUGC